GCUCCGCCUCCCUCGCUCUCUUUGCUUCCGGGUUGGAAUUCUGAACUGAAUCCUCGAGGGUUAAAGAUUUAGAGACCUUGGAGUGGGGAGUUUGGAACGGGAUGAAGGACAAGAAAUCUGGCUUGAUGAGUGCUCACUGGUGGCGACUGAUUUAGUAAGAUUUAGGAGCUACUGAUGUCCAGUCUCUUUUGCUGCCUACUUCUACCCCGAAUAUCUUGGAAGCUCCCUCACCUUGGGCACAGUGGAUCUCUUCUCUAGGUUAUAGAGGCAAAGCAUACAGAGCCUCCUGAGUCAUGUAGAACUGGUUCCAGCUCAUAUUCCUUUCCUCAUUGCUGCUUUAACAACUUGCUAUAAAUCUGGGGACAUAAAACAGAACUAACUUGCUAUCUUACAGUUCUGGAUGCCAGGUGGUUCACUCAGUUAUGGAGCCAGACAAACCACAUGACAGGCUGUCUGUAAGCUGGAGAACCGGGACGCUGGGAGAGUGGCUCAGAUCAGUUCCCAAAGCCUCACAACUAGGGAGGCCAACGAUACAAUUCUGAGGACAAAGGUCCAAAAAUCUAGGAGAGGUUGCAGCUGCAAAUCCCAGGAUUGGAAAGCUGGAGAACGCGUGGUUUUGUCUGAGUCACGCUCCUUUUGCAGGGACAAAAUACCCCAAUACCAGCAACUUGAAGGAAGAUGUUUAUUUCGGCUCACAGUUUCAGUCCACAAUUGACUCCAAGGCUGCAGGGCAUGUGGAAGGCCCUGGCUGAGGAGGGCUGCUCGCCUCAUGGAGACCAGCAAGCAUGGGGAGAAGGGAGGAUGCAGGAGAGAAAUGAAUCCUUUGGGCCAUUCUCUUUCUGAUCCACGUCUUCCAACUGGUCCUGCCCGCUACCAGCAUACUUAGCUGUAAAGUUCCCCAAUCCAAUCACUUUCCUGAUGUUCAGCACAGGGCCACACUAGAUCCAUGCUACAAGUUCUGAUUUCCAAAGGCAGAAGAAGAUGAAAGUCUCAGCUCAGAGGGUAGAGGGGAUUACUAUAAAGGAAUGAAUCUGCUUGUCCUCUGUCCUUUUGUGUUAAACAGGGCCCUCAAGGGGUUGGACAGUGGCUAUCCACAAGCCCUGAGCACACAUCUCUCUUACUCAUUCCCUGAUUUAAAUGCCAGUCUUUGCUGGAAACUCCUUCACAAGUAUGUCAAAAUUAGUGCUUUCCUAGCUAUUUGGGCUUCCUUUAAUCAAGUUGACACUUAAAUUUGACCAUCACGCUCUCUCUAAUUAGUGAAUAAUUUAAUUGUAUUUUACUUUCCAUGAUGGAUGAACUGCCAAAAUGUCAUUGGUUGAGUUUUCUAGAACAUACUAAAUGAGGGCUGAAAGAUAAAAUUUGGUUGAUGUAAAUAUACAUAAUAUUUAUUAUACAUUAUUUAUUGAAAUAGAUCACAGUAAAGGAAAUAUUGCUAGUAACCUCCUCAAAUGCUCUCCCUUGCUUCGCAUACACUUAUCCUGUUGUUCUUGGCAAUGUUUCUCCUACUAUUGUGGUUUUUUUAAAGUUUAAUAUUCACAGUACUUUUUAAUCAUCCCUUAUAUGCUCAGUGCAAGAGAUUAAAAGAGAUUGAAGUGUUUUUUUUAACUUUCAGCAUUGUUCUAUUAUAAUGUUAAUAAAGUGUAUGUGUUUUCAGGGCAUUGGAACAAUAA